GCGUUCUUAGGUCAGUGGUAAAGCGCGUGGCUUUUAACCACGUGGUCGUGGGUUCGAUUCCCACAGACGGUG
rnacentral:tRNA from 1 species